GCUUCCUCCUGGUGAAUGACAUUGUACAAAUUGCACCUAUAAAUUUUGUGGCAUAGCCACUAGGACUUCUGAAAAAGAUGAUGCAUUUGUGUAUGUCCUACGGACAUGCAACUUAUGUGAGAAAAAAUAUCAUGACUCUUGCUCUGAGGAGAUGGAUACCCAUCCUAAUAACUUGAAUACUUCAAACCUUUCUUUCUGUGGGAAAGAGUGUAAAGAGCUUUCUGAACACUUGAAGAAAUACCUUGGUACCAAGCAUGAACUAGAAGGGGGGUUUUCAUGGUCUCUCU